CCUCCCUCUAAAAGCACUCUGUGUGGGGAACAUGAGAGCCAGACCAAAGGUCAGAGGAAGAAACGAGGAACUAAAUGCAAACAUGAACCUGAACCCAGCUCUGUGUCUUUAAAGAGUGACACGUCUAAAGAUUGGCCACUUCGUUUUAAAGUCCAGCCUGUGUCUGCUGCAGAGAGUGUCACACAGACAGGAUCUGAUGAGCUUCUUGUUCCUAUAAUGAAGUGACUGAUAAAGCUCCUUUCAAACAUGAAGCAGUGAUCAAGCUGCUGCCGACCACAGUGAUGAAUCUGCAGACAGCUGGAUCAAAUCAGAGGAGUUUACUACACCUUACUGACUGUGCUGAUCUCACAGUGACAGCAAGUUUGUUCCACAGUGUUGAUGCUGAAACAGUGAAACACAGUCCUGUGUUUGAACCCUGACCUUUGACCCUGUAACAGUCAUUUAUUCUCUGGUCUGAGGGUCUCAGCUUGAAGCUGCUGAGAUAUAAAGUGCAGCUGUAACAUGUAGAGAUUUGAUUCAACUGGAUUCUGCAGUGAACGUGAAGCUGCUGCAGUGGUGUGUUCACUGUCCUCAGUGUGUGUAGGAGCUUUGCUGCUGUGUGUUGUACUGACUGUAGACGAGACACUGCUGCAUCAUUUAGGCCUGAACACACUGAGCUGCAAUCAUGUGAUCAGGAGGAAAUGAUGGUGUGGAUCAGCUGAUCAGGAGCAUUGAUCGCACUCUAGAAACCUUUGUAACCUGUACAAAUGAGACUGAACUAGACUUCUGUUUGCUGCUUAACAUUCACAUGCUGAUCAAAGAUGAGCUCAGAUUUCUAUCAGAGUGUUUUCACUCAGUUGUUCAAGGAGGAGAGAUGAGAUUAAAAUGUGAUCAGGACCAACAAAUACUCUUUUGUGUUCUUGGCAGAGAUGGCACCACUUUUUUAUCUACUGAUAUCAUAAAUUUGGAUAUCUGCCGAGUCUGAUAUAGUCUAUUUUAUAAUCACUAAAACUGCUUUCUUAAAAAUAUAUCUUGCUGCAUUUUGUAGUCAAAUAAAAAAACAAAACACUAAAGCUAUUCUGUUAUUCCUGUAUGCAAAAACUACACUGCACCCAAAAUAUUUCACAGUUCAGCAACACUGAUCUUUUUAUAUAAACUGUUAGCAAAACAAAGUCUAAGUAUUUAAAGUAAUAUUCAAAAACUCUUUAAAAAUGCAAUU